UACGGAGGGGGCUAGCGUUGUUCGGAAUUACUGGGCGUAAAGCGCACGUAGGCGGCUUUGUAAGUUAGAGGUGAAAGCCCGGGCUUACCAUGGAAUUGCCUUUAAGACUGCAUCGCUAGAAUUGUGGAGAGGUAAGUGGAAUUCCGAGUGUAGAGGUGAAAUUCGUAGAUAUUCGGAAGAACACCAGUGGCGAAGGCGACUCACUGGACACAUAUUGACGCUGAGGUGCGAAAGCGUGGGGAGCAAACAGG
rnacentral:rRNA from 1 species